CAGCCGCCGCGGGAAUACGUAGGUGGCAAGCGUUGUCCGGAAUGAUUGGGCGUAAAGCGUCUGUAGGUGGCUUUUCAAGUCCGCCGUCAAAUCCCAGGGCUCAACCCUGGACAGGCGGUGGAAACUACCAAGCUGGAGUACGGUAGGGGCAGAGGGAACUUCCGGUGGAGCGGUGAAAUGCGUUGAGAUCGGAAAGAACACCAACGGCGAAAGCGCUCUGCUGGGCCGACACUGACACUGAGAGACGAAAGCUAGGGGAGCAAAUGGGAUUAGAUACCCCUGUAGUCCCUGUCUCUUAUAC
rnacentral:rRNA from 1 species